UCUGAUAGUGACGAUGGCAAGAAAAAGAAGAAAAAGAAAGAUAAGAAAAAGAAGAAGGAUAAGAAGAAGAAGAAAAAGAAGGAUUCUUCAUCUUCUUCCGACAGUGAUUCUUGUAGCGAUGAUGACAAGAAGAAGAAAAAGAAGAAGAAGAAAAA